rnacentral:snRNA from 1 species
GGCUGUCUCUGCACCCCUACC